rnacentral:rRNA from 1 species
UCAGGACGAACGCUGGCGGCGUGCUUCAUACAUGCAAGUCGAACGAGAAUCUGGCUUCGGUCAGAGGAAAGUGGCGGACGGGUGAGUAAUGUGUAGAGAAUCUGCCCUUUAGCGGGGGACAACAGUUGGAACGACUGCUAAUACCCCAUAUGCGCGUAGCUGAGAUGCUAUUCGUGAAAACUCCGGUGCUAAAGGAUGAGUCUGCAUCUGAUUAGCUAGUUGGGGGUGUAAUGGACCACCAAGGCGACGAUCAGUAGCUGGUUUGAGAGGAUGAUCAGCCACAAUGGGACUGAGACACGGCCCAUACUCCUACGGGAGGCAGCAGUAGGGAAUUUUGCGCAAUGGGGGAAACCCUGACGCCAGCAACGCCGCGUGAUUGAAUAAGCCCUUCGGGGUGUAAAGAUCUGUCAGUGGGGACGAAACUUGACGGUACCCACAGAGGAAGCAUCGGCUAACUCCGUGCCAGCCGCGGC